rnacentral:rRNA from 1 species
CCUACGGGGUGCAGCAGUGGGGAAUAUUGGGCAAUGGGCGCAAGCCUGACCCAGCAACGCCGCGUGAAGGAAGAAGGCUUUCGGGUUGUAAACUUCUUUUGACAGGGAAGAGUAGAAGACGGUACCUGUCGAAUAAGCCACGGCUAACUACGUGCCAGCAGCCGCGGUAAUACGUAGGUGGCAAGCGUUGUCCGGAUGUACUGGGUGUAAAGGGCGUGUAGCCGGGUUGACAAGUCAGAUGUGAAAUCCGGGGGCUCAACCCCCGAACUGCAUUUGAAACUGUUGGUCUUGAGUAUCGGAGAGGCAGGCGGAAUUUCUAGUGUAGCGGUGAAAUGCGUAGAUAGAAGGAAGAACACCAGUGGCGAAGGCGGAUGACUGGACGGCAACUGACGGUGAGGCGCGAAAGCGUGGGGAGCAAACAGGAUUAGAUACCCCGGUAGUC